rnacentral:rRNA from 1 species
GACGAACGCUGGCGGCGUGCUUAACACAUGCAAGUCGAACGGUGAACCUCUUCGGAGGGGAUCAGUGGCGAACGGGUGAGUAACACGUGGGCAACCUGCCCCCGGCUCUGGGAUAACUCCAAGCAAUUGGGGCUAAUACAGGAUGUUCACCGCUUCACGCCUGGGUGGUGGUGUAAAGGGUUGCCGGCUGGGGAUGGGCCCGCGGCCUAUCAGCUUGUUGGUGGGGGAGUGGCCUACCAAGGCGACGGCGGGUAGCCGGCCUGAGAGGGUGACCGGCCACACGGGGAGUGAGACACGGCCCAGACUCCUGCGGGAGGCAGCAGUGGGGAAGAUUGCGCGAUGGGCGGAAGCCGGACGCAGCGACGCCGCGUGGGGGAUGACGGCCUUCGGGUUGUAAGCCUCUUUCAGCAGGGAGUAAGCGCAAGUGACGGUACCUGCAGAAGAAGCACCGGCCAACUACGUG